AACGAACGCUGGCGGCAGGCCUAACACAUGCAAGUCGAACGCUCCGCAAGGGGAGUGGCGCACGGGUGAGUAACACGUGGGAACCUACCUUCUGGUACGGAACAACCAAGGGAAACUUUGGCUAAGACCGUAUACGACCUCCGGGUGAAAGAUUGAUCGCCGGAAGAGGGGCCCGCGUCCGAUUAGGUAGUUGGUGAGGUAACGGCUCACCAAGCCUUCGAUCGGUAGCUGGUCUGAGAGGAUGACCAACCACACUGGGACUGAGACACGGCCCAGACUCCUACGGGAGGCAGCAGUGGGGAAUAUUGGACAAUGGGCGCAAGCCUGAUCCAGCCAUGCCGCGUGAGU
rnacentral:rRNA from 1 species